rnacentral:misc_RNA from 1 species
AGUGCGUGGGCAGCGGCCUGGG